CCGGGCUGCGGCUGUCACCCCCCGCGCGGCACCGUCCCGGCGCGCAGCGGCACGUCCCACCACCCUCCUCCUCUCUCCGUGCAAAUUGGGGGUUCCCCCCUCCUCCCCUUCCCCGCCAACCCGAUGCCGCUGCAUCCGUAGGGAUGCUACACGGGCCAGGGCGUGGAGGUGCGGUCCAGCGCAGGGCUGGAGACUGCACCCCCACCGCUCCUCCGGAUCAUCGCGGCAGCGUGGGGGCUUCUUCUUUCCGGAGCCUGCCUACAGCUGCAUUGAAGACGACAGCGGCAGCGCACAGCAAAAUAUUUGGGAUGGUCUGCAUGGGACUGGUCGCCGCUGCAGCGCACGCUAUAAACGCUGCAAAGCUGACUUGCUGCAUUUUUCAUCAAGCAAAAGGACAAAAGAAAAUGAUGAUUUUAUGAUCAGAAGCAGUUCCAGGAAACCUCCAUCCUUGUGCAUACACACAGUGACCACCUUGAGGAAUACAACGAGUAUGUCCACACAUUCACUUACAAUGAAGGCCCAUGAAUGUUUCUUGCCAAACAUAACCUCCUUCAGCAAACUCAAGGGCAGAGAGCACAGAGCAUAUUUGGCACAGUGGCCUGCCACUGCCCUUACUCCUGCAGAUCACUUCCAAGAAAGAAAAGAUGCAAAGACAAAUCAAGUGAAAACAAGAAAAAUUGCAUAUUCUCCCUAGGACUGCCGCACUGCCUCCCUGAUCUGCCAAGACUUGGAAGCUGUCUUGACCUAAUGGAAAUAAGUGUGUUUUUUAGUAUAAGGACACACUGCAUUUAGCAAAUGCCAUCCCAGCUCACUUUGGACUGUUCCUUGAAUCCUGCUGUGCAUCAGCUGGCAGGUAAACAGCAAAGAUCAGUUCACCCUCUACAGUAAAUGAAUUAAUGUGCUUCCUAAAAAGUGCAGUGAGCAUAAUGUGAACUGAGAGCCUGGUGGUCAGAGAAUGCAUUUCUGCCCAAAAUGGAGCCAAAUUACUCCCUCCUGAUGCAAGCUGCUAGGAUCAGGGAGCAUUUUAAUCAGCUUUCAGACCUGGUCACCGGCAGCAGAUACCGUACCAUACCCACAAACCACAGUGACACAGCAAGUGACUUUAGCUGCUUCUUGUAGCAACUGCAAGAACAAUCUGUGGCCACACUCCAGAAGGAUGGAACAGCCACAGGGAAUAAUAAUCUUCAGAUGCACCAGUCAGUCCUCUCACUCUGGCUCCCUCUUCACCUUAUCACCACUUCCAAAAAUAGGCUGCAGAUUGUACAGAAAGGACAUGGCCGAGGAGAUACUGUUCCUGGAACUCUGAAUUUCUACUUCAGCUGUCCUUGAGCCUCCACAAAAUAUUAGACUUAUGCCAACCAUUUAUCCAGGGAGUGCAGCACACUCCAGCCUGUUGGACACUAGAGCUAUGAGCACAGAUAUUUGCUGCUCUAGCAGUCCAUUUUCCCACCAGUAAGUGUCUAUACCUCUUCCUCGGCAUCGAUGGAAUAGUACAUCAUGGACAGAGGAGAUGUGCUUUGCCAUAUCCCAGGCUAAAUUGCUCAGAAGAACACACAAGGAUCCUUUAACUGAAGAGCUAAGACACUUCCAAGAUUGUGCAUGUUAGGCUGGACAAGGAUAGAAAAAAAAAUAAAAAUAAAAAAAGAAAGAAACCA
rnacentral:lncRNA from 1 species